AGAGUUUGAUCAUGGCUCAGAUUGAACGCUGGCGGAAUGCUUUACACAUGCAAGUCGAACGGUAGAGGGGGCAACCCCUUGAGAGUGGCGAACGGGUGAGUAAUGUAUCGGAACGUGCCCAGUCGUGGGGGAUAACGUAGUGAAAAUUACGCUAAUACCGCAUACGAUCUAUGGAUGAAAGCGGGGGAUCGCAAGACCUCGCGCGAUUGGAGCGGCCGAUAUCAGAUUAGGUAGUUGGUGAGGUAAAGGCUCACCAAGCCAACGAUCUGUAGCUGGUCUGAGAGGACGACCAGCCACACUGGAACUGAGACACGGUCCAGACUCCUACGGGAGGCAGCAGUGGGGAAUUUUGGACAAUGGACGCAAGUCUGAUCCAGCCAUUCCGCGUGCAGGACGAAGGCCUUCGGGUUGUAAACUGCUUUUGUACGGAACGAAAAAGCUCUUAUUAAUACUAGGAGUCCAUGACGGUACCGUAAGAAUAAGCACCGGCUAACUACGUGCCAGCAGCCGCGGUAAUACGUAGGGUGCAAGCGUUAAUCGGAAUUACUGGGCGUAAAGCGUGCGCAGGCGGUUAUAUAAGACAGAUGUGAAAUCCCCGAGCUUAACUUGGGAACUGCAUUUGUGACUGUAUAGCUAGAGUACGGCAGAGGGGGAUGGAAUUCCGCGUGUAGCAGUGAAAUGCGUAGAUAUGCGGAGGAACACCGAUGGCGAANGCAAUCCCCUGGGCCCUGUACUGACGCUCAUGCACGAAAGCGUGGGGAGCAAACAGGAUUAGAUACCCUGG
rnacentral:rRNA from 1 species